rnacentral:rRNA from 1 species
UAAGGAAUAUUGGUCAAUGGACGCAAGUCUGAACCAGCCAUGCCGCGUGAAGGAUGAAGGUCCUCUGGAUUGUAAACUUCUUUUAUCUGGGACGAAAACGGGAUUUUUAUCUCAAUUGACGGUACCAGAGGAAUAAGCACCGGCUAACUCCGUGCCAGCAGCCGCGGUAAUCCGGAGGGUGCGAGCGUUAUCCGGAUUUACUGGGUUUAAAGGGUGCGUAGGUGGGCUUAUAAGUCAGUGGUGAAAUCUCCGAGCUUAACUUGGAAACUGCCGUUGAUACUAUAGGUCUUGAAUUAUCUGGAGGUAAGCGGAAUAUGUCAUGUAGCGGUGAAAUGCUUAGAUAUGACAUAGAACACCAAUUGCGAAGGCAGCUUACUACAGAUAAAUUGACGCUGAGGCACGAAAG